rnacentral:misc_RNA from 1 species
CUCAAUUAUUGUCUUUUUCCAGUGACUUCCUUUCCUCCUUCAAAAGCAUGCUCAAAAGGCAGUGUUUUUGAGAGACUGAAGAGGACACAAGAGGUGAAUAACAAUAUUAACAAUGCUUCUGUCAGUCACACUAUGUUAAUUGCACAUGAAUCCAAUUAUAGCAGUAACGGAAAAUCAUUUCAUGAAGAGAACUUAACAUAUGGCGAACAGAAUGAAACACCAAAUAAGAAACGCCAGACUAAUUAUAAGUGUGAAGAUACUAUGCAGCAUGUUCCAAGUUCCUCUGUAGUUUUUCAUGAUUCUCCUGUGCAAACAAGACGCUUUAGUCCCCUUAAGUCUGGAUUUCAUCAGCGCGUUCUUUUUACUUCCCCAGCUAAAAAUUCUGAUGUUGAAGAUAAGAUAUCAAAAGUGGAAAAGCUAUGUGAGAAAAUAUAUGUUCGAUUAGAAGAAAUUAAUAAGAAGACAGAUAAAAUUAUUAUGAAUCAAGAAAGGCUCAACAAGUCUCUUUUAGUGCGAUUAUUUCAGUUCUUUUAUCACAUCCAAGGAUGUAGCCAAAUCUACUGUCAAAAUUGCUGUAAAAGUUCUUACAAACUCUAUGGCAUCCACAAUGAGUUUUAAAGGGCAGAACACAAAAAAACCCUUUUAUAAAUUGAAGAUAUGGGAGGCCAUACAAGGUUCAAUAUUGAUCAAAUUUGAUGACACAGUACUUUUCAAAGCAGAAGAAACCAUGAAAACAUGGUUGGCCAAUGCUCCACGGCGUAAACAAGAUAAUGAAACUUACGGGAAAAAGUGUAUGAAAAGAAAAUUAGAAGUAAACACUGCAAAGUAGUUGGGCAAAAUGUUUAUGUUUUAUAACUUUUUUUAUUUGUUAUUUCUAAUAUUUUUGACUAAGA